AGUUUUAGAUCAGUAAAGAAUGUUCUUGAAGCUUAAGGCAUAUAUAUUCUGAUUUCGAACAAAAGCCAAGGAAACAGACAGUAACAGCAAGUAAAACACACAAAAAAUGUAAUUUUUCUAUAUAAAACAAUUAAAAUCACAACAUAGUAUGGGUUCAGCAAUGGAAAGGCUUUAGGCAUGACUCAACGUAUUAAGACAAAUAGAAAUUCAUCNNNNNNNNNNNGUUCAGCAGUGGAAAGGCUUUAUGUAUGACUCAACGUAUUAAGACAAGUAGAAAAUCAUCAAGUGAAAGAAGCCGUCUGAGCAACAGCGUCUUCCUCUUCCUUUUAUGUCAUCG
rnacentral:lncRNA from 1 species